rnacentral:rRNA from 1 species
UACGUAGGGUGCGAGCGUUGUCCGGAAUUAUUGGGCGUAAAGAGCUUGUAGGCGGUUUGUCGCGUCUGCCGUGAAAAUCCGGGGCUCAACCCCGGACUUGCGGUGGGUACGGGCAGACUAGAGUGUGGUAGGGGAGACUGGAAUUCCUGGUGUAGCGGUGAAAUGCGCAGAUAUCAGGAGGAACACCGAUGGCGAAGGCAGGUCUCUGGGCCGAUAUUGACGCUGAGGAGCGAAAGCGUGGGGAGCGAACAGG